rnacentral:rRNA from 1 species
GAUGAACGCUGGCGGCGUGCCUAAUACAUGCAAGUCGAGCGAACGGACGAGAAGCUUGCUUUUCUGAUGUUAGCGGCGGACGGGUGAGUAACACGUGGAUAACCUACCUAUAAGACUGGGAUAACUUCGGGAAACCGGAGCUAAUACCGGAUAAUAUUUUGAACCGCAUGGUUCAAAAGUGAAAGACGGUCUUGCUGUCACUUAUAGAUGGAUCCGCGCUGCAUUAGCUAGUUGGUAAGGUAACGGCUUACCAAGGCAACGAUGCAUAGCCGACCUGAGAGGGUGAUCGGCCACACUGGAACUGAGACACGGUCCAGACUCCUACGGGAGGCAGCAGUAGGGAAUCUUCCGCAAUGGGCGAAAGCCUGACGGAGCAACGCCGCGUGAGUGAUGAAGGUCUUCGGAUCGUAAAACUCUGUUAUUAGGGAAGAACAUAUGUGUAAGUAACUGUGCACAUCUUGACGGUACCUAAUCGGAAAGCCACGGCUAACUGCGUG